AGCGAACGCUGGCGGCAGGCUUAACACAUGCAAGUCGAGCGCCCCGCAAGGGGAGCGGCAGACGGGUGAGUAACGCGUGGGAAUCUACCCAGCUCUACGGAACAACUCCGGGAAACUGGAGCUAAUACCGUAUACGUCCUUCGGGAGAAAGAUUUAUCGGAGUUGGAUGAGCCCGCGUUGGAUUAGCUAGUUGGUGGGGUAAUGGCCUACCAAGGCGACGAUCCAUAGCUGGUUUGAGAGGAUGAUCAGCCACACUGGGACUGAAACACAGCCAAGACUCCUACGGGAGGCAGCAGUGGGGAAUAUUGGACAAUGGGCGCAAGCCUGAUCCAGCCAUGCCGCGUGAGUGAUGAAGGCCCUAGGGUUGUAAAGCUCUUUCACCGGUGAAGAUAAUGACGGUAACCGGAGAAGAAGCCCCGGCCAACUUCGUGCCAGCCGCCGCCGUAA
rnacentral:rRNA from 1 species